UACGUAGGAUGCAAGUGUUAUCCGGAAUUAUUGGGCGUAAAGCGUCCGCAGGUGGCGAUUCAAGUCUGCGGUCAAAGACUGGGGCUUAACCCUGGAAAGGCCGUGGAAACUGAAUAGCUAGAGUGCAGUAGGGGUAGAGGGAAUUCCCGGUGUAGCGGUGAAAUGCGUAGAGCUCGGGAAGAACACCGGUGGCGAAGGCGGUUCUCUGGGACGGUACUGACGCUGAGACGCGAAAGCGUGGGGAGCGAACAGG
rnacentral:rRNA from 1 species